AUGUGUUUGUGUGAUGUUUUUUUGAAUCUCUUGCAGACUGGGGUGUGCAGUACUUCCACAGGUGCCACGGAUCCGGAGCCUGAUGUUGCUGCUGAAGAGCAGAGCGAUCAAGCUCCCCCAAAGGGACAUCUAGAGGUCCUUACUCAUCAGGUGCACAUGAGUGUUCUGGGCGACAUGGUCUCCUUUUCGGCAUGUGCAAGUGUCGGGUGGUGCUUGCCUACAUGGUUUACGGCAAGCUGCAGUUCAGGUGGGCGCUCCAGCUCUCCCUUCUCAUGCUAUACAUCCAGGAGCUCCAGGCCUAAGAAAGUUGGAAGUGCGAAGACGUGA
rnacentral:rRNA from 1 species